GAUGAACGCUAGCUACAGGCUUAACACAUGCAAGUCGAGGGGCAGCAUGAACUUAGCUUGCUAAGUUUGAUGGCGACCGGCGCACGGGUGAGUAACACGUAUCCAACCUGCCGAUGACUCGGGGAUAGCCUUUCGAAAGAAAGAUUAAUACCCGAUGGCAUAGUUCUUCCGCAUGGUAGAACUAUUAAAGAAUUUCGGUCAUCGAUGGGGAUGCGUUCCAUUAGGUUGUUGGCGGGGUAACGGCCCACCAAGCCUUCGAUGGAUAGGGGUUCUGAGAGGAAGGUCCCCCACAUUGGAACUGAGACACGGACCAAACUCCUACGGGGGGCAGGAGUGAGGAAUAUUGGUCAAUGGACGAGAGUCUGAACCAGCCAAGUAGCGUGAAGGAGGACUGCCCUAUGGGUUGUAAACUUCUUUUAUACGGGAAUAAAGUGAGGCACGUGUGCCUUUUUGUAUGUACCGUAUGAAUAAGGAUCGGCUAACUCCGUG
rnacentral:rRNA from 1 species